rnacentral:tRNA from 1 species
GGGGACAUAACGCAUUGGUAGAGUACUUGCUUACGAUACACAAGGCUCUGCGUUCAAUUCACAGUGUUCCUG